rnacentral:rRNA from 1 species
ACUCCUACGGGAGGCAGCAGUAGGGAAUCUUCCACAAUGGGCGCAAGCCUGAUGGAGCAACACCGCGUGAGUGAAGAAGGGUUUCGGCUCGUAAAACUCUGUUGUUGGAGAAGAACGUGCGUAAGAGUAACUGUUUACGCAGUGACGGUAUCCAACCAGAAAGUCACGGCUAACUACGUGCCAGCAGCCGCGGUAAUAC